GAGCUAAUACAUGCGAACAAUCUCAACUUCUGGAAGGGAUGUAUUUAUUAGAUUAAAAGCCAAUGCGGGUCAAACCGUCCAUUUGGUGAUACAUGAUAACUUAUCGAAUCGCAUGGCCCAGCGCCGGCGAUAUUUCAUUCAAAUUUCUGCCCUAUCAACUUUCGAUGGUAAGGUAGUGGCUUACCAUGGUCGUAACGGGUGACGGAGAAUUAGGGUUCGAUUCCGGAGAGGGAGCCUGAGAAACGGCUACCACAUCUAAGGAAGGCAGCAGGCACGAAAAUUACCCAAUCCCAAUUCGGGGAGGUAGUGACAAGAAAUAACAAUACGGGGUCUUUAUAGGUCUCGCAAUUGGAAUGAGUACAAUUUAAAUCCUUUAACGAGUACCAAUUGGAGGGCAAGUCUGGUGCCAGCAGCCGCGGUAAUUCCAGCUCCAAUAGCGUAUAUUAAAGUUGUUGCAGUUAAAAAGCUCGUAGUUGGAUUUCGGGAUGGGCCAGUCGGUCCGCCUAACGGUGUGUUUACUGGCUGGUCUGUUCUUCUUCGCAAAGACUGCGUGUGCACUUUACUGUGUGUGCGUAGGAUUUACGACGUUUACUUUGAAAAAAUUAGAGUGUUCAAAGCAGGCAUACCGCUUGAAUACAUGAGCAUGGAAUAAUGGAAUAGGACUUUGGUCUUAUUUUGUUGGUUUCUGAGACCGAAGUAAUGAUUAAGAGGGACAGUUGGGGGCAUUCGUAUUUCGUUGUUAGAGGUGAAAUUCUUGGAUUUACGAAAGACGAACUACA
rnacentral:rRNA from 1 species